GUGCCUAUCAUGCAAGUCGAACGCUUUUUCUUUCCCGGAGCUUGCUCCACCGAAAGAAAAAGAGUGGCGAACGGGUGAGUAACACGUGGGUAACCUGCCCAUCAGAAGGGGAUAACACUUGGAAACAGGUGCUAAUACCGUAUAACACUAUUUUCCGCAUGGAAGAAAGUUGAAAGGCGCUUUUGCGUCACUGAUGGAUGGACCCGCGGUGCAUUAGCUAGUUGGUGAGGUAACGGCUCACCAAGGCAACGAUGCAUAGCCGACCUGAGAGGGUGAUCGGCCACACUGGGACUGGAGACACGGCCCAGACUCCUACGGGAGGCAGCAGUAGGGAAUCUUCGGCAAUGGACGAAAGUCUGACCGAGCAACGCCGCGUGGAGUGAAGAAGGUUUUCGGAUCGUAAAACUCUGUUGUUAGAGAAGAACAAGGAUGAGAGUAAAAUGUUCAUCCCUUGACGGUAUCUAACCAGAAAGCCACGGCUAACUACGUGCCAGCAGCCGCGGUAAUACGUAGGUGGCAAGCGUUGUCCGGAUUUAUUGGGCGUAAAGCGAGCGCAGGCGGUUUCUUAAGUCUGAUGUGAAAGCCCCCGGCUCAACCGGGGAGGGUCAUUGGAAACUGGGAGACUUGAGUGCAGAAGAGGAGAGUGGAAUUCCAUGUGUAGCGGUGAAAUGCGUAGAUAUAUGGAGGAACACCAGUGGCGAAGGCGGCUCUCUGGUCUGUAACUGACGCUGAGGCUCGAAAGCGUGGGGAGCGAACAGGAUUAGAUACCCUGGUAGUCCACGCCGUAAACGAUGAGUGCUAAGUGUUGGAGGGUUUCCGCCCUUCAGUGCUGCAGCAAACGCAUUAAGCACUCCGCCUGGGGAGUACGACCGCAAGGUUGAAACUCAAAGGAAUUGACGGGGGCCCGCACAAGCGGUGGAGCAUGUGGUUUAAUUCGAAGCAACGCGAAGAACCUUACCAGGUCUUGACAUCCUUUGACCACUCUAGAGAUAGAGCUUCCCCUUCGGGGGCAAAGUGACAGGUGGUGCAUGGUUGUCGUCAGCUCGUGUCGUGAGAUGUUGGGUUAAGUCCCGCAACGAGCGCAACCCUUAUUGUUAGUUGCCAUCAUUUAGUUGGGCACUCUAGCGAGACUGCCGGUGACAAACCGGARGAAGGUGGGGGAUGACCUCAAAUCAUCAUGCCCCUUAUGACCUGGGCUACACACNUGCUACNAUGGGAAGUACAACGAAGUUGCGAAAUCCCCNAGGCUAASCUAAUC
rnacentral:rRNA from 1 species